AAAAAGGAUUCCGUUUUCACUUUUUACAGAUGCAAACAUUGAGAACUGGAGUCCACCAGGAUUCACACCGAGGACAAUCUUCUCUAUCCCCAGCCCCACCCACAAGGAUCAGGGACAGGCAGAUUGGAGGAGCCUUGGGACCUGGCUGACCCAACACCUCUGGCUCUGUGGUGGGAACAGAGGUGCAAUAGCAUCUAUAACAGGGUACCAGUGAGGUCACCCCAACCUCAUUGACCCCAUAGCCCUGAACACAAUGC
rnacentral:lncRNA from 1 species